CAAUAGCGUAUAUUAAAGUUGUUGCGGUUAAAAAGCUCGUAGUUGGAUUUCUGCUGAGAACGACCGGUCCGCCCUUUGGGUGUGUAUCUGGCUCUUUCUUGGCAUCUUCUUGGUGAACGUUGCUGCACUUGACUGUGUGGAGCGCUACCCAGGACUUUUACUUUGAGGAAAUUAGAGUGUUUCAAGCAGGCAUACGCCUUGAAUACAUUAGCAUGGAAUAAUAAGAUAGGACCUCGGUUCUAUUUUGUUGGUUUCUAGAGCUGAGGUAAUGAUUAAUAGGAAUAGUUGGGGGCAUUCGUAUUUAACUGUCAGAGGUGAAAUUCUUGGAUUUACGGAAGACGAACUACUGCGAAAGCAUUUACCAAGGAUGUUUUCAUUAA
rnacentral:rRNA from 1 species